ACGAACGCUGGCGGCGUGCCUAAUACAUGCAAGUAGAACGCUGAAGAGAGGAGCUUGCUCUUCUUGGAUGAGUUGCGAACGGGUGAGUAACGCGUAGGUAACCUGCCUUGUAGCGGGGGAUAACUAUUGGAAACGAUAGCUAAUACCGCAUAACAAUGGAUGACACAUGUCAUUUAUUUGAAAGGGGCAAUUGUUCCACUACAAGAUGGACCUGCGUUGUAUUAGCUAGUAGGUGAGGUAAUGGCUCACCUAGGCGACGAUACAUAGCCGACCUGAGAGGGUGAUCGGCCACACUGGGACUGAGACACGGCCCAGACUCCUACGGGAGGCAGCAGUAGGGAAUCUUCGGCAAUGGGGGCAACCCUGACCGAGCAACGCCGCGUGAGUGAAGAAGGUUUUCGGAUCGUAAAGCUCUGUUGUAAGUCAAGAACGGGUGUGAGAGUGGAAAGUUCACACUGUGACGGUAGCUUACCAGAAAGGGACGGCUAACUACGUGCCAGCAGCCGCGGUAAUACGUAGGUCCCGAGCGUUGUCCGGAUUUAUUGGGCGUAAAGCGAGCGCAGGCGGUUUGAUAAGUCUGAAGUUAAAGGCUGUGGCUCAACCAUAGUUCGCUUUGGAAACUGUCAAACUUGAGUGCAGAAGGGGAGAGUGGAAUUCCAUGUGUAGCGGUGAAAUGCGUAGAUAUAUGGAGGAACACCGGUGGCGAAAGCGGCUCUCUGGUCUGUAACUGACGCUGAGGCUCGAAAGCGUGGGGAGCGAACAGGAUUAGAUACCCUGGUAGUCCACGCCGUAAACGAUGAGUGCUAGGUGUUGGAUCCUUUCCGGGAUUCAGUGCCGCAGCUAACGCAUUAAGCACUCCGCCUGGGGAGUACGACCGCAAGGUUGAAACUCAAAGGAAUUGACGGGGGCCCGCACAAGCGGUGGAGCAUGUGGUUUAAUUCGAAGCAACGCGAAGAACCUUACCAGGUCUUGACAUCCCGAUGCUAUUUCUAGAGAUAGAAAGUUACUUCGGUACAUCGGUGACAGGUGGUGCAUGGUUGUCGUCAGCUCGUGUCGUGAGAUGUUGGGUUAAGUCCCGCAACGAGCGCAACCCCUAUUGUUAGUUGCCAUCAUUCAGUUGGGCACUCUAGCGAGACUGCCGGUAAUAAACCGGAGGAAGGUGGGGAUGACGUCAAAUCAUCAUGCCCCUUAUGACCUGGGCUACACACGUGCUACAAUGGUUGGUACAACGAGUUGCGAGUCGGUGACGGCGAGCUAAUCUCUUAAAGCCAAUCUCAGUUCGGAUUGUAGGCUGCAACUCGCCUACAUGAAGUCGGAAUCGCUAGUAAUCGCGGAUCAGCACGCCGCGGUGAAUACGUUCCCGGGCCUUGUACACACCGCCCGUCACACCACGAGAGUUUGUAACACCCGAAGUCGGUGAGGUAACCUUUUGGAGCCAGCCGCCUAAGGUGGGAUAGAUGAUUGGGGUG
rnacentral:rRNA from 1 species